UGGUGUGAGUGAUCGUUUGACCUGCGGUGUCAUUGGUUAUUUGCAGUGAGGCUACUGGGUUUGACUACAUAUUUUUUUGAUCUUUAGCCAUUCGGAUCCUUACUGUGUAUAUUGACUUCAGUAGGUUCAAGUUCACUGUUUGGAGUAGGAUGCAUCUAGAUGGGAUCUAUCGAUCUUGGUAGAAAAAGAGAAGUCCUAUG
rnacentral:lncRNA from 1 species